rnacentral:rRNA from 1 species
AUUAGAUACCCUGGGUAGUCCACGCAGUAAACGAUGAAUACUAAUUGUCCGGGACGAUUGAGUCCUGGGUGAUACAGCGAAAGCGUUAAGUAUUCCACCUGGGGAGUACGCCGGCAACGGUGAAACUCAAAGGAAUUGACGGGGGCCCGCACAAGCGGAGGAACAUGUGGUUUAAUUCGAUGAUACGCGAGGAACCUUACCCGGGCUCAAACGACAGAUGAAUGUUUUUGAAAGGAGGCAGCCCUACGGGGCAUCUGUCGAGGUGCUGCAUGGUUGUCGUCAGCUCGUGCCGUGAGGUGUCGGCUUAAGUGCCAUAACGAGCGCAACCCCCAUCGCCAGUUACCAGCAAGUAAAGUUGGGGACUCUGGCGAGACUGCCGGCGCAAGCUGUGAGGAAGGCGGGGAUGACGUCAAAUCAGCACGGCCCUUACGUCCGGGGCGACACACGUGUUACAAUGGCAGGUACAGAGAGAAGCGAAGCGGCGACGCCGAGCGGAACUUGAAAGCCUGUCUCAGUUCGGAUCGGAGUCUGCAACCCGACUCCGUGAAGCUGGAUUCGCUAGUAAUCGCGCAUCAGCCAUGGCGCGGUGAAUACGUUCCCGGGCCUUGUACACACCGCCCGUCAAGCCAUGGAAGCCGGGAGUGCCUGAAGUGUGCAACCGCAAGGAGCGCCCUAAGGUAAAACCGGUGACUGGGGCUAAGUCGUAACAAGGUACC